rnacentral:rRNA from 1 species
GGUGGAGCAUGUGGUUUAAUUCGAUGCAACGCGAAGAACCUUACCAAGGCUUGACAUGAACUGGAAAUACCUGGAAACAGGUGCCCCGCUUGCGGUCGGUUUACAGGUGGUGCAUGGUUGUCGUCAGCUCGUGUCGUGAGAUGUUGGGUUAAGUCCCGCAACGAGCGCAACCCUCGUUCUAUGUUGCCAGCACGUUAUGGUGGGGACUCAUAGGAGACUGCCGGGGUCAACUCGGAGGAAGGUGAGGACGACGUCAAAUCAUCAUGCCCCUUAUGUCUUGGGCUUCACGCAUGCUACAAUGGCCGGUACAAUGGGUUGCGAUACUGUGAGGUGGAGCUAAUCCCAAAAAGCCGGUCUCAGUUCGGAUUGGGGUCUGCAACUCGACCCCANGAAGUCGGAGUCG